rnacentral:rRNA from 1 species
UACGUAGGGUGCGAGCGUUGUCCGGAAUUAUUGGGCGUAAAGAGCUCGUAGGCGGUUUGUCACGUCUGCUGUGAAAUCCCGAGGCUCAACCUCGGGCCUGCAGUGGGUACGGGCAGACUGGAGUGCGGUAGGGGAGAAUGAAAUUCCUGGUGUAGCGGUGGAAUGCGCAGAUAUCAGGAGGAACACCGAUGGCGAAGGCAGGUCUCUGGGCCGAUACUGACGCUGAGGAGCGAAAGCGUGGGGAUCAAACAGG